AACCUGCGGAAGGAUCAUUU
rnacentral:rRNA from 10 species